AAUUUAAAAUUUUUAACCUAAAUUUCUUUUUUUUCUCUUCUCUCCCGCGCACCGCAAACCCACUUGAUUUCUUCUUCUUCUUCACGCCGACCGAACCUCACCCUCAGUCGAUGCCUUCAAUGGAACGUCGCCGCCUUCAAUGGAACGUCGCCACCUCCAAUCUCUCCUUCUCUUUCACCGUCUGCGCAAGCCGCUACGGCCGCGCACCCUUUUGUCCGCCCCACUCACGCGAAUUCCGACCGCCGCUCGUUCCCAAUCUCCUCUGUUCAAGCUUUGUCGAAGACCACCAGCGUCGCCCCCUUCCGCUCCCGAACUUCCCUUUUCGACUUCGGCCGGCGGUUUCUGCCCAAACCCAGCAACAGACGCCAACGCAUCCUCGCAAAGCAGCUGCUAGCGUCGUGGUUGCCGUCUCUUCGUCUGUCGCCGCGAGUUCCAAGCCAUGCACCGAAUCCGCUGCCACGAACCCCAAGCCGUGCACCAGAUCUGCCACGUUGAAGUCGAGUCGCUUGCUGCCGACGUUGGUUUCCUCCAAGCCGAGCUGCGAGUCAAACUGAACUGUGAACCAAGCCAAGCCGUUUUUCCAAGCCAAUCUCUCUGUUCACCGAGCCACUUAAGUCGUUUUCCUCCACGCGGAGUCAUGGCGAGUCUUUGGUGUUAAAAAGGUGACGCUCGAAUUCUUCGAUUAUACAGCAAGUUUAGUUUGGAGUCAAUUCUCCUUUACUUGGGUUGAUUCGUUUGGACGUUGACUUGAACAAAGAUUGUAGCUAAAUCUCAGGUAAGGGAUUUCUUACUAUUGGACCCCAAACCGAGACGAAAAACGUAGUAACUCAUAUGAAGAUUAUACGAUAGCGAUUGUACUGAAUUGAUUGAUGCAUGUAUGCCUAGAAAACAUCACUAGUAUGCACUCUUGACUGAUUAAAGGUGACAUGAUUGUUAGUUUUAGCUUAUACAUAUAUAGAUGUGAAUGGGUUGUUCUGCUGAUGGAAUACGAUGUCCGGAUGUUCUGUGUAAUAUAACUAUAUUGAUGGGUCGUGUUGUUAACUGAAAUAGUGAGGUCAAUGGAGUAAGAAAAUCUUGAUGUUAUGUAUAGCUGAAUUAUGUUGUUGGGUUGCAUAUUAUUGAGUUAUGUCGUUGAUGGACUAAGGGUUCAGGACCUCAUGUGUAGAUUGUGUAUUCGCUGAUGGACUGUGCUGUAGACUGAAUAUGGACGUUAUGCAUAAUAUGGACGUUAUGCAUAAUAUGAAUGUUAUGCACAAUAUAGAUUACUUGUAGUUGUGCUAGGGUUUGGACUGAGACGAAGUGAUUGUUCGGUGAAUUUACAAAGUGAUGAUUUGAUUCGUUGACUAGAUUUAGGUAAUGUAACAGUAUUGUGUGGAUUGGAUAUAUGUAUAGUGACAGAUGAGACUGUUGACUAAACCUAAAUUGUCUGACUGACUAAGGUUAUAAAAUGAACUGCUAGUUGAACGAUAUUGUGAUGUGACUGUUGUAGACGGUUUAGUAUGGACUGAGGGGUAAUGGUUAGCAUUAUUUAUGGGGUAGUGUACCUUGAAGACACGGUGUCCUUCGGGAUUCUUAGAUUGAUAUGUGCAUCAUUCGGGAUCUCUAGACUGAUAUGUGCAUCCUUCGGGAUCCCUAGACUGAUAUGUGCAUCAUUCGGGAUCACUAGACUAAUAUAUGAAUUCAACGGAAUCAUUAGACUGAUACGUGUAUCCUUCGGGAUUCCUAGAUUGAUUGAUGUGUGCGUUUUACGGAACCAUUAGACUGUUUUAUGUAGAGUACUCUUUAAUAGGAAGCUAACUGUUAUUACCCUAACGGGUCCAGUAGUGGGUCUCUUACUGGGUAUAUUUUUAUACUCACCCUUUACUAUUUAACUUUUUCAAGCAAAGGUAACACGAGGAACAGACUGGCGAGAGGCAAGAAGGAUUCAUGAAGGCCAUAUAGACAUGUCUGAUUGCUUCCGCUGAACGUAUUUGUCAUUUCUGUUUCUUUUUAAUUAUUAAAUGGAGUCAUGGUUAGAACAACUGUUCUUCUGUUUUGUUUUAAUGACUUCAUGGAUUAUGUUUUGAAACUUUUGGAAAGCGACUUAAAAUAGGGCCCGAAAUUGCUUUUCUUAUGUAUUAAAGGUUUUUAAUGAAUCGUUAACAAGUCUUUUUAUAAGUUUGUGUGUUUUACUGUCGAGUCUUAGCAGUAGGUAGUAAUCUCAGCUUAGUCCGAAAGGUUGGGUCGUUACAGUUGGUAUUAGAGCCUAAGUUUUAAGUUCUGUAGACUAACUUAUGAUGUGAGUCUAUGUUUUGUGGAAACCUAAAUGAUUGUUGAAGGUUGAAGACUUUUGACCAUUUUUAUGUUUAAUUCUUGUUGAGAAAUUUUUUAUCAUGUCAUGUUCUGUUGUAGGAACUGUUGGGUUGAAAUGAAUAAGAGAAGUUUACUAAUUUACUU